UACGUAGGGUGCAAGCGUUGUCCGGAAUUAUUGGGCGUAAAGAGCUCGUAGGCGGUCUGUCGCGUCUGCUGUGAAAACUCGGGGCUUAACCCCGGGCCUGCAGUGGGUACGGGCAGACUAGAGUGCGGUAGGGGAGACUGGAAUUCCUGGUGUAGCGGUGAAAUGCGCAGAUAUCAGGAGGAACACCGGUGGCGAAGGCGGCACUCUGGGCCGAUACUGACACUGAGGAGCGAAGGCGUGGGGAGCGAACAGG
rnacentral:rRNA from 1 species